rnacentral:rRNA from 1 species
UACGAAGGGUGCAAGCGUUACUCGGAAUUACUGGGCGUAAAGCGUGCGUAGGUGGUUCGUUAAGUCUGAUGUGAAAGCCCUGGGCUCAACCUGGGAAUGGCAUUGGAAACUGGCGACCUAGAGUGCGGUAGAGGGCAGUGGAAUUCCCGGUGUAGCAGUGAAAUGCGUAGAGAUCGGGAGGAACAUCUGUGGCGAAGGCGACUGCCUGGACCAGCACUGACACUGAGGCACGAAGGCGUGGGGAGCGAACGGG